rnacentral:rRNA from 1 species
CCCGGCACAAGCGGUGGAGCAUGUGGUUUAAUUCGAUGCAACGCGAAGAACCUUACCUGGUCUUGACAUCCACAGAACUUUCCAGAGAUGGAUUGGUGCCUUCGGGAACUGUGAGACAGGUGCUGCAUGGCUGUCGUCAGCUCGUGUUGUGAAAUGUUGGGUUAAGUCCCGCAACGAGCGCAACCCUUAUCCUUUGUUGCCAGCGGUCCGGCCGGGAACUCAAAGGAGACUGCCAGUGAUAAACUGGAGGAAGGUGGGGAUGACGUCAAGUCAUCAUGGCCCUUACGACCAGGGCUACACACGUGCUACAAUGGCGCAUACAAAGAGAAGCGACCUCGCGAGAGCAAGCGGACCUCAUAAAGUGCGUCGUAGUCCGGAUUGGAGUCUGCAACUCGACUCCAUGAAGGCGGAAUCGCUAGUAAUCGCGGAUCAGCAUGCCGCGGUGAAUACGUUCUCGGGGUUU